rnacentral:rRNA from 1 species
GACGUAGGGCGCGAGCGUUGUCCGGAUUUAUUGGGCGUAAAGAGCUCGUAGGCGGCUUGUCGCGUCGACUGUGAAAACUCGCAGCUCAACUGCGAGCCUGCGGUCGAUACGGGCAGGCUAGAGUUCGGUAGGGGAGACUGGAAUUCCUGGUGUAGCGGUGAAAUGCGCAGAUAUCAGGAGGAACACCGAUGGCGAAGGCAGGUCUCUGGGCCGAUACUGACGCUGAGACACGAAAGCGUGGGGAGCAAACAGG